ACAACAGUCUCAAAAUAUUUUUCCUUGUCACUCUGCCAUAUUCGUUCCUUACUCCCUGUAUUUAUGUCAAACAAAUCGAGAAACGGAAUGUUGCCUUCUGGGGUAGCGCCACUUCCAUUUAACAAUAUGUAAGUGUCCCCAUCAUCUUCCUUCUUCACCUUCGCAAUAACAUAUGUUCCAGCAGGAGUUCUCCGAGACAUGGGAGAACCAGGAUCAGAAUACACAUCUUCUGAUGAUCGAUCAAAUAGUAUCCGGGGAUUUACAUCCUCUGAUCCGGGAGAUAUAACCCAUGUCCUCACCUUCCUUGUUUUGUACCACGAUUCGUAAACCAAUGCAAGUGUAUCAUCACACCAGGAAAUCCCUCCAUAACGAAGGUCCAGUUUAUGUAAAAUUUUAGGUUGUUCAUUGUCAUGUGGUGCAGGAGAUUGUGUAUAGACUAUGUCACGUGGAGAAACGUCAACUUUUGCAUCACCGCCAUCUUGUGUCUCAACCCAAUAGAGAGUCGAC
rnacentral:misc_RNA from 1 species